rnacentral:rRNA from 1 species
AGAACGAACGCUGGCGGCAUGCCUAAUACAUGCAAGUCGAACGAACACUUCGGUGUUAGUGGCGCACGGGUGCGUAACGCGUGGGAAUCUGCCCUUGGGUUCGGAAUAACCGUUGGAAACGACUGCUAAUACCGGAUGAUGACGAAAGUCCAAAGAUUUAUCGCCCAGGGAUGAGCCCGCGUAGGAUUAGCUAGUUGGUGAGGUAAAGGCUCACCAAGGCGACGAUCCUUAGCUGGUCUGAGAGGAUGAUCAGCCACACUGGGACUGAGACACGGCCCAGACUCCGUACGGGAGCAGCAGUAGGGAAUAGUGGACAGUGGGCGCAAGCCUGAUCCAGCAAUGCCGCGUGAGUGAUGAAGGUCGUUAGGUUAGUAAGUCUUACUUUACCGAG